AUGGCUGUCGUCAGCUCGUGUCGUGAGAUGUUGGGUUAAGUCCCGCAACGAGCGCAACCCCCGUCGCAUGUUGCCAGCAUUUAGUUGGGGACUCAUGCGAGACUGCCGGUGACAAACCGGAGGAAGGUGGGGAUGACGUCAAGUCCUCAUGCCCCUUAUGUCCAGGGCUACACACGUGCUACAUUGGCGCAUACAGAGGGCUGCGAUACCGCGAGGUGGAGCGAAUCCCUUAAAGUGCGUCUCGGUUCGGAUUGCAGGCUGAAAUUCGCCUGCAUGAAGGCGGAGUUGCUAGUAAUCGCGGAUCAGCAUUGCCGCGGUGAAUACGUUCCCGGGCCUUGUACACACCGCCCGUCACACCACGGGAGUGAGCAACACCCGAAGCCGGUGGCCUAACCCGCAAGGGAGGGAGCCGUCGAAGGUGGGGCUCGUGACUGGGGUGAAGUCGUAACAAGGUAGCCGUAGCGGAAGCUGCGGCUGGAUCACCUCCUUUCUGGAGAUCUCGAGUAGUCGCCGGCUUGCCGGCGCACGAAAGAGUCUCAGAAGUCGCCCGCACUCCAUUCGCUCCAACUCACUUUUCUUGUUUUGCUCUUUGACAAUCGAGGUAUGGAUGAUGUGUGUCCGGGCCGGAAGGCUCGGACGGGUGUGAGGAAUCAACACCGUUGCGCGUCCGAGUACCCGCUUGCGGGUGCGUAGGAUGGCGCAACAUCGAAAUUGAGAUCAAACGCAAUAAGGCACACGGUGGAUGCCUUGGCAUCGAGAGGCGAUGAAGGACGUGAUAAGCUGCGAUAAGCCUGGGGGAGCUGCACAUGAGCUGUGAUCCCAGGAUGUCCGAAUGGGGAAACCCGG
rnacentral:sRNA from 1 species